CCCGUCAUUGGCGGAAAAUGGGGCCGAAACAGGAUCGACGAACGUCUAAAGGGGUUAUGCUUUGUCCCGGUGAGGUACCACCGUUAUCGGUCCGAAACGUACAGUUGCCAAUGACAACCGUGCUCCGGCAAUGGCUCUGGCUGCGUAAGCAGUUCGAGUCGCCGAAACUAAGCCCUUGCGCCUAGCAGCGUAAGGCGGGGUUCGCAGGCACCUGGCAACAGAAGCCUGCACU
rnacentral:tmRNA from 1 species